rfam:Leifsonia sp. Leaf336 contig_2, whole genome shotgun sequence.
GGGGAUGAUCGGUUUCGACAUUGUCUGCGAGAGUGUGAGAAGCGGGUCGAGGAUGCAUGGUUAUCUCGUUAACGAUCCAUGCGAAAAAAUAAGUGCCAAUAACAAGAGCACUGUCUCGGCCAAGGCCGACUUCGCCCUCGCGGCGUAAGUUCCCCUUCGCCAUUUGAAGAGACCGUCAGACCGGGAACUGUCUUCUACCCGGAUCCUGGCGUCAGCUAGAAGACUUGCUUCUGCGUUGAGCAUCAGGGCGCAGAGGGACUCCAACUGAUACUGAGCCCGUCGGAGCAGGUGCCAGUGGCAAGUUCCGGGGCUGAGAAAGCGAUUUCACUGGCUACGCCCGUAGAAGGCACAUGACCACAGCAGUGGACGGGGGUUCGAUUCCCCCCAUCUCCACCA